rnacentral:lncRNA from 1 species
AGGGAUCUAUGUGGUCGCAUAGAUCAAAUUUUUUUUGCUCAUUGAAUCCCUGAAACCUUCUAUGCGACCGCAUAGAAGGUUACACUAUGCGGUCGCAUAGAAGUAACCAUCUAUGUGGUUUGUGCAAUUUGGUCCCUGAACUUCUUUGUUGCUUCUCUUGACUUCUUUCUUCGAUUUCUUCAUCUUUUCAACAAUUCUUAUCUU